rnacentral:lncRNA from 1 species
AGGAUCGAAUCCAAGCCUCAGCUGUACCUAAGCCACAGCUGUAGCAACGCUGGAUCCUUAACCCACUGUGCCACAGUGGGACCUCCUAGAGAAAGCUAUUUUUUAAUCUCUUACAUUUACCAAUACUCAACAAGAGAGUAGUGAACCUACAUCUACAGGGGCAGCCUGGUUCUCAUCCUCAAAGUCCUAUUCAAAUAGCUUUACUCUAAACAUCAGAGAAUAUGCAUUUUUAUUUUCAGAAUUAAGUGCAUCCAAGAAAUAAAACUUUUCAUUGAUGGGAAACUGACAAACGUACUGCCUAAAACCACAUGGUACCGUAUUUCCAACUGAGUUUUCUUGAUCCAAAAUAUCCUGACAGCCAAAUUUCAAAACUAAAAAACAAUUUUAGGGAUAGUAAAUAGAGCUAGUUAUUAUUCUCCUUGAAUGAACUGGUUAGACUUUGUGUAUUUUUGUAGAAGUAACCCCGUGACAAGCUCAUUCAAUUAAGUUCCUCUCUGCUGCCAGGUUAAGAACCCAAGUCUUCAAACAAGGUUCUUCCCCUCCACAUCAAGAGAGAUUUUAAACAAGUCAUGAAAAUUAAUGCUCAGGAAAAAGCUCAAGAGUAUCAACAAAUGUCCACUGCUCUCCAAAUCCUAACUCAACAGAAGCCACCUUUACCUGUCCUGCCAUCUAAGAACAGGAGACCUUAUUGUCAUUAAUUAACAUUGCCCCAACCAAUAAUACAUGUAACAUACAGGAAAUAACCCCACAUCGUCAUACUACUGAGUAGAAGAUGUGCAGCAAAUAUCCAGACACAAGUUUGACUGGAUACUAUUCAUCUCAUAUCAAUAGCAGUGGUGAGUAAGACUAAAGAAGAUGAAGAUGGAGAGAGAAGGUGAGGUACCAGAGAAAAAGAAAAUAUUUUUUUGUAUACAGGUAGACUAUGAUUUAUGCAUAAAUGUUAAUGAAUGAUAAAAUGUAGCAUAAUAGCAAUUAAGUAAUUCAGCUAGACAGUAAAAUGCCAACUUGCAUGCAUAAUAAGUUACUCGGUUUUUUAAAAAUAUUCCAAUACCGGAGUUCCCGUCGUGGCGCAGUGGUUAACGAAUCCGACUAAGAACCAUGAGGUUGCGGGUUCGAUCCCUGCCCUUGCUCAGUAGGUUAACGAUCUGGCAUUGCCGUGAACUGUGGUGUAGGUCGCAGAUGCGGCUCGGAUCCCACGUUGCUGUGGCUCUGGUGUAGGCCGGUGGCUACAGCUCCGGUUCGACCCCUAGCCUGGGAACGUCCAUAUGCCGAGGGAGCGGCCCAAGAAAGGGCAAAAAAACAAAAAAAAAAAAAAAAAUUCCAAUACCCAUUGCUAGUUUCAGUAAAUUUGCUCUUAUGACAGAUCAAAUAGAGAUAUGACAGAGAUAGUGCAGAUGUUCCUAUAAACAGGAAUAUGAAAAUGCCUAUCAAAAGCAGUAAUCCCAAUCUAACAAUACGACUUUCUGUAUCUCUCAAUUAUCUCUCCGAUGUAUUUUUUUUAAAAUGUGAAACAGAGAAAAAGGCUGUUUGUGCAAAAGUGUUCAUCUUAAGUUUUAAAAAAACAAACUUUUCUGGCUUGAAAAUUCCAUACAGGAAAAUUCAGCAUGUUUUUUAUCCUCAAGAUGCUCAGCUUUUUGUCUUUUCUUUCAACUGGACCAUAAAUUCCUUGAGGGCAGCAAUUGCAUCUUGUAUCUCUCAUCCCGUAUAGUGCUGUUUAGUACUCAUUACUAGCCAAGUAAAAGUCAAAUCAUACGGCCAGUGAGCAACUGGUGAUACGUUUUCUUCUUAAGUGGUCAGAUUAUGAGACAGAAGGGUAAUUCUACAUGUCUCUCCAAAUACCCAUAGGGGACUCUGACUUCGUAAUGUAGAUCUUUACAGCAGAUGAACUCCUGGCAAAAUGCUAAAUGCUUUACACACCACUAUUGUAAUGAAUUUCAAAAUACAUGUCAAAAAAAAAUAAAUAAAAGAGGUUAAAAAUUUGAUAGCUAAAAAUCACUAAAGGAAAAGCAUUACAAGAUGAAGUCAAAAUCUCCCACAACAUAAGGACAAAGACAGAAAGAUGGAAAAUGGGAAGGAAAGCCAAGGGAUGUAGAGGAUCAAAUCAGAGGACCCAACAUCUGACUGACAGGAAUUCCAUUAAGAAAGAACAGAGAAAGCCUAAGGAAAACACAUCAAAAUAAUAAAAGAAAAUGGCCCGGAGCCAACUGGAGAUGUAGUUUCCAGAUUACUCCAAGUACCACUCCGUUAAUAAGACCCGAACAUCAUUACAAAAUUUGAGGGCCACACUUAAGAGAGAGCCCAAAAGUUUCAUGAGAGAAAAACAACACUGAAUCUAGAAAGAAAAUUCCAUUUUUUAAAAAGGCUUCUAUGUUCUUCUCCCAGGAAAAAUAAAAGCAGAGAUCCAACACUUCAGGGUUAAGAGACUAUAUACGAAGGUUAGAGGCCACGUUUGAAGAAAAUGAAUGUUGUACAGCGUCAAUGAAUUGAUACAAGUAAAUAAGGAAUCUUCAUCUCAUCCCAUCCACAGAGAGGCCCAAGAAUCAUGAAAUUGGAAAAGAACGUAAUCAGACCAUCUUACUCGGUCCCUUAGUGGACAUUAUUUGCAUAGAUAGAGCAUAAACGCUGAUGAUUUUCAAUUUGUAAGUAUCCACCUAAAUAUGCAACACAAGAGACUCUGUAAUAGUUACAGAACAGAAUUGUCAACUUUAGCAAUUAGAAAAUAAAUGCAGCUUAAACAUUUCGGAAAGCAGGAUAUAAAGAGCUGGGGUAAAAGAUAAGGUGCCUGUAUAUUUUUCUCAUGGAGUGGAUUUUUUUCAAUAUGCUACUGUAAAGUCACCCAAAGAAACCAGAAGCAGAGUUGUAUUUUUUUUUUUGAAGUGAUACACAAAUUAAAAAAUGUAUAUUAAGGAAAAUUAUAGGACACAGAGAUGUAUGUCGAAUGAAAAUGGUGAUGGGAUUGGGCUUUAUGUUCUUUGUUUCACAUGCGGUUCCAACCACUGUAUUAGUAGUUGGGAGUUAAAAAUCAAGCAAAAAGAAAACACAUGCUCUAUAUUAGUCUGCUUGCUAGAAGGCAUUUUUAAAAAACACACGAAAUACCACUUUCUGUGGUAGGAGACAGAAACUGUGGUAGUUAAUUUACAAGCCAGAUAAUACCAUUUUCAUCCUAAUAGAAUAUCCCACAAGUGCUUUCAGAGGAUCGUGAAGGCCCAUUUUGACAUGAGUUCAUCUUCAGAGUGCCUCUGCACUCCCCAUGUACCUUCUCAUUUCCAAGGAAUAGGACACUAAUGCAAUGACUCUGCGCCAGAGUCCUCUUCAAAAUGCUGGCUUUGAUGGAAAUGGAACAGUUUUCUCUUAGUAUCCUCUGGUUACCUGAAAGAGCUGGUAUCCCCCUAUUUUUUUUCCCCCAAACUCUUGUUCUUGACUAUAUAAGUCUUCCUUUAUUUCCAUCUACUUAUAUAUUUGAAGCACUUUUCUUCCAAAGACUCAGGCUGCUUUAAACAUAUCAUUUUGGCUGUCUUUGUGUGAAGAACUCAUUUUACAACUCCAUGAAGACUGCAAAGGUAAGCACCAUUAAUCCAAUUCUUAAGUGGAUAAACACUACGAGAAGUUAAAUAGUGACAAUAGUGACAUAGUGACGCUAGCGUCUUUAAGCAGGACCAAAAUCCUAUCUUCUAAUUUCUAGAUAACGUUGCUAUCUCAUCGCAUUUGAAUGAUAUUAGUUUAGAGGUUCACAAAUUCAGACCAAAACCGUUUCCACAAACAUGACCAUGGUGGACUUCUAGGCUUUAGCUAGCUUAAUUCGACCUAUUUGAAAAACUGAAAAACUUCAGAUUCAAAUUUAUAUAUUUAACUUCCUCUAGGUUUCUCUGAAAAGAAAACUGGGUAUUUUUCCAUUAACAUUUGAAGUGAAGUAGCUUUUGCAUUCAUACUGAAAAGAAAAUUAAAAGAGGGGGAAGCAGGAUCAGAGCAAUUAUCAUACUAUUUCUCAAAAGGCUUUUCCAUAAAUGUUCUGAGUGUAUCAUGAGCUCAUUAACACAUGAGGAAAGUAAACUUACACAGGGUCAGGAAAAGAGGAAAUUUUAGUCGUAAAAGUACAAGUAAUUGAAAAUAACUGCAUAUUCAAGUUUCAGCGCUUACACUGAGGUUCUAAUAUUGAGUAUUUGCCCUUCUCGAGAUUCUGAUGGUUACAAAAAAACAUCAAGGGAAAACAACAAAACCCAAAUGGAUGAUGGGUUUUUCCUUUAGGGGAGAAGUUUAUUGUAAACAGAAGUGGUGGUUGGGAAGAACAAAAGGGGGGGCUGAGAAAGUGCCUGGAAGGAGGCUCUCCUGCUAACUAUGCAUGAAGUCAUCUCGAGUGGUUGCACUGGCUGUCCCCAGCCUUGAAAGAAUCCUGAGUGCCUGGAGGAGUGGAUCCUCCCACUGGAAGAGCCAACCCACCCAAGUAGAAAGUGCAGCCUGGGAACUAGCCCCAGGAGAAGUGGGCCUGCUUACACUUCCUACCAGCAAGCAGGCAGGAAGCACUGUCUGCCUGACAAAGAGGCAAGCAGAAGCCAAGGCUAAAAGUAGACUGCAUUUCUGAGGUUCUAACAUUGAAAGAACGGAAACCAUAUGGGAAUUUAUUAUUCAACUGAAGCCUUCAGGUGGCUUUAAAUUAAAAGGAAUAUCGUCAACCACAUCCCUAGGCCUUUUUCUUCCCUUUCUCUACCCCCUCCUCUUCUUUUCAAAUUUUACAAGCCCUGUGAUUUAGCAGUGGAAAUUCCCUAAAUAUAAAUGAAGCAUUAUGUCCACCCAAGAAAUUCUUUCUGGUAUUCAGCCAGUAGUUUGGCAUUAAAAGCUCUCAUGUGAGUCUUGGGAGGAUAACUUUGUGUGUGUGUGUGCGUGUGUAUACACACUUUCAUUUUUCCUUCUUUAGAAUUAUUCUGCAUUAUGUAAAGAUGCUUGUUGAGAGGUCUACAUGUAGCAUCAGAAGGGAUGCAUGCUCCCUGAAGAAAUGCAACAACGACAUAGAAAUGCAGGCCAAUCCUCCAAGAGUAUAAACUGGCCACACGGUUUUCUCUAACAGUAGCUAUCGUGCUUACAGAUGUCCUACCACUGCCAUCUCACAACUGAGAACAUCCCUCCAUAACUCAAACAUCAACUCUAAAGAGAGAGUAAUGAUGAGUGCCAUCAUGAGGGCAUGCUGACAACACUGCGGCAACUCAGUACCCCGAAUCCUGACUCCGAAUAACCGAAGCUUACUUCGUGCUCAAGCUCCAAGUCUGACCUAGGUCAGAGGGUCUUUCCAUCAGGCCUCCUUCAAGACUGGACUGCGAAGGUUCCCACUAAGGCAGGUGGAAGGGGAUGAAACUGAAUCCGGAGGUGACUAUUCAACACCAUCUGGGAAGUAUGAGAUGUGACCUCAGCUCACAUUUCCUUGGCAAAAGCCAGUCACCUGGUCAUGCUUAACCUCAGAAGAAGCAAGAAAGUGCAACUGCAGUAAAUGUCCCAAAAAGAGGGCCACGGACACAUGUGUGAGCAUCUGUGAUGAUGGCAGGUUGUCUAUUAAAAGAAUAUACAACCUUCUAGAGCCCAUAAGACUUAUCACUUGAUACGUGACAUAGAUCAUAGAUCCCAUCUUAUGUUUACUUCUAUUCCCGGUCCCCGAGGAACAGAAUGAGAGAGAUAGACAAGACCGACAGACAGACAGAGACAGAGAGACUGAACAAUGUAGCUAUGAUAGUUUCUACUCCUUUGGACCCUUAUGUCAAUUUGGCAGGUUAAGUAAAACAUUUCUUUCUACUGUUCAUAACAAAGAUAAUAAAAUAAAUGAUUGAUGCUAUGUAUAUUCUUCGAGUGCUUCCUGGAUUCUCUGUAGGACAGGACAGGCUGCUCAGUCUACAGUAAGACGGUUAAGACAGCAGUUCACAAAGAAAUAUGGAAGGAAAUUCCUUGCUAGUCAUUUAAAGAGGGCCAAGUGAAUAUUUCACUCACCUGCCCUUCAUGCGCAUGUAAAUAUUCUCCCUGAAACACUGAGAGACAGAGUAUUCAGGACAAAGUAUUUUAAUAUAAAUAUGUCUCUCUUCACUUAGAACAUACAGACCAGUAAAGGAAUGUCUGCAUAAAUCUUGUUUUCCCAAGAAACAGUCCCAAAAAAUGUGUUAUCGCAGAGAGAAGCUGAAGGUCAAAUGGGAAGGAAUACAUUGAAGAGGAACCUUAUUUUCUCUAGUUCAGAAAUACAUUCCUUCUCUAGUACAUGAACCCUGCCCUGCACCCUGAACUUUUAAAUAGGGUGGAGUGAAGGAAACGUAUUGGAAAGAGACUGGGGAGGCUUUGAGUAAUGUUAGAAUACUGCUUACUGUUUACUAGAUACAUGGAGGGAGUUAAAUAAAAAAUUCAUGCCAAACAGUAUCGCUACAAGAGACCAGCUGUUCUUAUUUAUUCCAACAGACAUGGUUGCACAGGACUCCAAGCUCUGUUAUCCAGGCUCAGUGUAACUACUCCAGCAACAAUUGCCAGGGCUUUGAAGUAACUCAGGUCACAGAACAAGGCACUCAUUUUACAGAGAAAUGCUUAAGACCCUUUUUUUUUUUUUUUUUCUAAGAAGAACUCUAAAUUUUACCUGAAAGCUCUCAAAUUUGACCAUAAAAAAGUCUCGCCAUAAUGUAGGCUCAGCUCCUCAAUUAUGGUCCUUCUCCCCUCAUGCCCAAGGCUCACCAGCCACCCUCAC